UGGGUAGGGGGACUGUGAGAUGGGUAGGGAGACACCUUACAGAACACCUACCCACUCACAGUCCCCCUACCCACCUUACAAUCC